rnacentral:rRNA from 1 species
AACGAACGCUGGCGGCAUGCCUAACACAUGCAAGUCGAACGAGACCUUCGGGUCUAGUGGCGCACGGGUGCGUAACGCGUGGGAAUCUACCCUUGGGUUCGGAAUAACUCAGAGAAAUUUGAGCUAAUACCGGAUGAUGACGUAAGUCCAAAGAUUUAUCGCCCAAGGAUGAGCCCGCGUAGGAUUAGCUAGUUGGUGAGGUAAAGGCUCACCAAGGCGACGAUCCUUAGCUGGUCUGAGAGGAUGAUCAGCCACACUGGGACUGAGACACGGCCCAGACUCCUACGGGAGGCAGCAGUGGGGAAUAUUGGACAAUGGGCGAAAGCCUGAUCCAGCAAUGCCGCGUGAGUGAUGAAGGCCUUAGGGUUGUAAAGCUCUUUUACCCGGGAUGAUAAUGACAGUACCGGGAGAAUAAGCUCCGGCUAACUCCGUGCCAGCCGCCGCCGUAAGAC